rnacentral:rRNA from 1 species
GACGAACGCUGGCGGCGUGCUUAACACAUGCCAGUCGAACGAAGAGCGACGGAAGCUUGCUUCUAUCAAUCUUAGUGGCGAACGGGUGAGUAACGCGUAAUCAACCUGCCCUUCAGAGGGGGACAACAGUUGGAAACGACUGCUAAUACCGCAUACGAUCUAACCUCGGCAUCGAGGAUAGAUGAAAGGUGGCCUCUACAUGUAAGCUAUCACUGAAGGAGGGGAUUGCGUCUGAUUAGCUAGUUGGAGGGGUAACGGCCCACCAAGGCGAUGAUCAGUAGCCGGUCUGAGAGGAUGAACGGCCACAUUGGGACUGAGACACGGCCCAGACUCCUACGGGAGGCAGCAGUGGGGAAUCUUCCGCAAUGGACGAAAGUCUGACGGAGCAACGCCGCGUGAGUGAUGACGGCCUUCGGGUUGUAAAGCUCUGUUAAUCGGGACGAAAGGCCUUCUUGCGAAUAGUGAGAAGGAUUGACGGUACCGGAAUAGAAAGCCACGGCUAACUACGUG